UACGUAGGGGGCAAGCGUUGUCCGGAAUCAUUGGGCGUAAAGCGCGCGUAGGCGGCCCUGUAAGUCCGUUGUGAAAGUCAAAGGCUCAACCUUUGAAAGCCGAUGGAUACUGCAGGGCUAGAGUCCGGAAGAGGCGAGUGGAAUUCCCGGUGUAGCGGUGAAAUGCGCAGAUAUCGGGAGGAACACCGGUGGCGAAGGCGGUUCUCUGGGCCUGUGCUGACGCUGAGGAGCGAAAGCGUGGGGAGCGAACAGG
rnacentral:rRNA from 1 species